UUGUGCUACUCGUACGUUCCGGUUCCGCUGCGCGGGCCAGGCCAGCUGACGACUGGUCGCGCCGUGGUGUCGACC
rnacentral:sRNA from 12 species